UUCACUAGGUGCAGCGUCUAUGAAUAAUACGUUAAAAGUAGGUGUUGCGAAAGUAUUAAUAAAUCAAAAACUAGGCGCGGUAUUACCCCAAUUUUUAAACAUGUUUUGCAUGUUGCUAUACAUUAACGUGUGUCAAAAUUUUGUUAAUAUUUAUUAACGAUUUUUGUAUUUUAUCGCGGGUCAACUUUGACGGCCCACCCAACCAAAAGUACUUUGAUUAUUUAAUAUAUUUUUUGAUACGUAAUUGAAGUGUCGCUUCUUCUUUCCAACGACACCAAGAUUGCUGCUACAGGUGUACCAUAACCCGGGAUAUUUAAUAAUAUAUGAUAUAUUUACUGAUAUAUGAUUUUUAUGGGGAAAUACCGUUACGGUCUAAUGAUUUUCUUUUUUUAGUCUCUCGUUUUUUCUAUAGGCAAGGGGGGGAGGAUUCCUCACUAGCACCAAAUAACUAUAUACAGACUAUCUUUGCUAUAAUGCCUCUUACUGUUGUGUAAUGCAAACUUACUACGGUUUGUUUACCUAGCACAACUCUCGUCUAAGUUUACUACCAGCUGGUAAAGUUUCCCCACAGCAAAACAAUAAAAUGCGCGAAUUUAAGCGAGCAGCAUUAAUCACACACUAAACUCCCUCAUCUUUGUUUCUUUAUUAUCGUGGCUGCUUCUCGGGUCUACUGUCUACUACUCCUUGCCCCUUCUCUUUUCUACGCAGCAUUUUCUUCUCUCCGCUUUUCUCAUUGCGCAAUCAUGCACUUGUACCUAGACGAUAAGGAAACCCUAUUUCGAAUUAACCGCUAACGAUUGUUUACUGAGUCUUAAAAGCGUAAACAAUUAAAGAUAAACAUAAACAAACAAAAUAGGUGACAGAACGAAUACAUAUACACACAACGAAAUGGAGACACGAGGCAGCUGAGUGACGUAACAAUCGCCCGGUUCCAUAGUCUGCCACGCAUGGACGGUCGCGUGACAAUGGACGAAAUAAAUAGACAUGAACGGGGACUAGAAACACAGUAUCAUCUAGUUCUAGUACCAAACUGUAUUUUACCGACUCAGCAAUGUCAAAAUAUAGAAUUUAAUAUCCACGAAAUAACCAGUGUACGCGAGACAUAAUUAACUGCGCGGGUUCAUGCACUGUGCGGCCGCGCAAUUGCGCAGCUUAGAGGGAACACUGCUGAAGAUGUCUAAACACAAUAGCCACUUCAAAGGGUGAAACAGAAAUCAAAUUGCAUGUACGUGACUCCCAAGUUUUUGACCGAUGCAAAAUGCAUCACUGCGGUAAAGGAGACUGACCUAUUGACUAACAGUUAAUCUGCAAGGCAAAGAGGUUGACCUAGUAUCGUGCGCAAACAUGGCGAGACCUAGUAUCGUGCGCAAACAUGGCGAAACAAACGCUUAAAGAAUUGCAGAAUAUGAGGAGCAACUCAGAAGAAGUCGUCGAAAAAAUUUUCCACGAUGCCAAGUGCAUUGCUGAAAGCCACAACAUUCCGAUUAUAUUCACUUUACCACGCGGUACAAACCUGACUGUUCAGCAGCAUUUGCACAGCAUUGCGUUCUUCCCGUUCAUUGAAGACGUUGUUAGCCAAUUUGAACAACGAUUUUCUCCAACAUUUCAGUGUGCAGCACUCAUUCGUAAAAUAUCCCGCCGAAUCUUUUGAUGAAAGUCAGCUCAUAAAUUUGGUAGAACUAUAUUCGAAAGACCUGGGAGAAAUGCCGCUGCAAGGGUUACGUCAGAGUUCGGCUAUUGGCGACAUGAAGUGGUCAGCAGAUCUACCAUCCGACGCCAAAUCUGCUCUUCAGGCGUGUAACGGAUUUCUUCCCAAAUAUUCGCCAACUUU